GUCGUGAGAUGUUGGGUUAAGUCCCGCAACGAGCGCAACCCUUGUCUCAUGUUGCCAGCACGUUAUGGUGGGGACUCGUGAGAGACUGCCGGGGUCAACUCGGAGGAAGGUGGGGAUGACGUCAAGUCAUCAUGCCCCUUAUGUCCAGGGCUUCACACAUGCUACAAUGGCCGGUACAAAGGGCUGCGAUGCCGUGAGGUGGAGCGAAUCCUUGUAAAGCCGGUCUCAGUUCGGAUCGGGGUCUGCAACUCGACCCCGUGAAGUCGGAGUCGCUAGUAAUCGCAGAUCAGCAACGCUGCGGUGAAUACGUUCCCGGGCCUUGUACACACCGCCCGUCACGUCAUGAAAGUCGGUAACACCCGAAGCCGGUGGCCUAACCCGUAAGGGAGGGAGCCGUCGAAGGUGGGAUCGGCGAUUGGGACGAAGUCGUAACAAGGUAGCCGUACCGGAAGGUGCGGCUGGAUCACCUCCUUUCUAAGGAGCACCACGAGACUUGAGGGCCGGCCCACAUCGUGUGGGGAUAUCCGGAUUCUUGGGCGAUUCGUUGGAUGGCUUGUUCACCUGUAGUGGGUGCGAGUCUGGUGCACGCAAACUCUAAAACCGUCGCGUGGGUGGAUCUUCGGGUCGCCGGCGUGGGGGGAUCAUCGGACACACUGUUGGGCUUUGAGGCAACAGGCCCGCCUUCUCUUCGUCCCCUUGGGGAAACCGGGGAGGGUGUAUCGCCGCUGGGGACAGCGGGUGGUGGUUGAGUCUGGUGUCGCUCCAUCUUGGUGGUGGGGUGUGGUAUUUGAUUUGUGGAUAGUGGUUGCGAGCAUCUGGCGCGAUGAGGGCAUGCUCCUCUUUUUGGGGGGUGUGUGUUUUGUUGUGUCGAUGUGCAAUUUUUACUCAUUUUUGGUUUUUUGUGUUGUAAGUGUUUAAGGGCGCAUGGUGGAUGCCUUGGCAUUGAGAGCCGAUGAAGGGCGUUGGAGGCUGCGAUAAGCCUCGGGGAGCUGUCAACCGAGCGUUGAUCCGAGGAUGU
rnacentral:sRNA from 1 species